AACGAACGCUGGCGGCAGGCUUAACACAUGCUAGUCGAACGAGACCUUCGGGUCUAGUGGCGCACGGGUGCGUAACGCGUGGGAAUCUGCCCUUGGGUUCGGAGUAACAGUUAGAAAUGACUGCUAAUACCGGAUGAUGACGUAAGUCCAAAGAUUUAUCGCCCAAGGAUGAGCCCGCGUAGGAUUAGCUUGUUGGUGAGGUAAAAGCUCACCAAGGCGACGAUCCUUAGCUGGUCUGCGAGGAUGAUCAGCCACACUGGGACUGAGACACGGCCCAGACUACUACGGGAGGCAGCAGUGGGGAAUAUUGGACAAUGGGCGAAAGGCUGAUCCAGCAAUGCCGCGUGAGUGAUGAAGGCCUUAGGGUUGUAAAGCUCUUUUACCCGGGAUGAUAAUGACAGUACCGGGAGAAUAAGCCCCGGCUAACUCCGUGCCAGCCGCCGCGGUAAGAC
rnacentral:rRNA from 1 species